rnacentral:sRNA from 1 species
GCCUCGCGCGUGAACUGACACAUCAGCACAGGUCGGAACCUCUCACACAAGCACCGGCAUGGGCGCCACCUGUUAACCCUUGACACUGGAAGCGUUGGUCUCAAGCAGGAAUCAGCCCCAUGCACACGCGCGCCUGGCGCUUGCGCCCUCGACUACCCCGCCUCUG